GACCCGUCUGUGCUUUGGAGUCAUUUCUUGCUCUUCUUUGUACCACCGAGAAGUGAUAAAAUUUCGUCUCAUCUCCACCUCGCCUCUGUUAUGGCAUCCGAAGGUAUCGUUAAGCAGCUAGCGACUUCUCCUCCGAUCUAUGUUACCAGCCGUACUGAUGGUUCUUUUGUCAGCACGGUGGAGGUAGCUGUUUGCCUAUGCUGUCACGAAGGAUGUUCGUGGGUUCUUAAGGCGUCUGGCCGUCAUACUUCAGGCGUUCAGAAGGCAGAAGAGAAAGCCGCGGAAUGCAUGAUUCGUAUUCUCAGGGCUGAACACGGCGUUCGUUUCGACGACAUAAACCGUUCUCGGUUUAGCAAAUGCCGGGAAGCUUUGCUAUGAGACGGCUGUGUAUGGAUGCCAUGCUGCGUGUCCACCGUGAGGCUUUGCAGAAGUCAUCUUUUUUGGAGAAAGGAUGGGGCCGAGCCCUAGAUAAUCUUCAGACAGUGAAGAACAAGUGCGAAGACAUGUGCUCUCGCAAGGCGGAGGGCUCUAAUGAUUCUGCAAGUCCAUUUGGGGAAACAUGCGCAGCGCGCGAUAUUCGCGAGUUGGUUUCAUGGAUUCAGGCGACAGUAAAUGUAAAUGAAGAUACGAUUCAACAAUCUAUAUAUGGUCGUUCUGAAGCACGUACAAAACAUUGUAUAUAUUCUCUAACAACAUCAAAGAUUCUGCUAGGGGUUCUCGUCA